rfam:Salmo salar isolate Sally breed double haploid chromosome ssa07, whole genome shotgun sequence.
GUCUCUGUGGCGCAAUUGGUUAUCGCGUUAGACUGUUAAUCUAAAGGUUGGUGGUUCGAGCCCACCCAGGGACG